AUUGAACGCUGGCGGCAGGCCUAACACAUGCAAGUCGAGCGCGAAAGGCUUUCGGGCUGAGUAGAGCGGCGGACGGGUGAGUAACGCGUAGGAAUCUACCUGGUAGUGGGGGACAACUUGUGGAAACGCAAGCUAAUACCGCAUACGCCCUAUGGGGGAAAGCGGGGGACCUUCGGGCCUCGCGCUAUCGGAUGAGCCUGCGUAGGAUUAGCUAGUUGGUGGGGUAAAGGCUCACCAAGGCGACGAUCCUUAGCUGGUCUGAGAGGAUGAUCAGCCACACUGGAACUGAGACACGGUCCAGACUCCUACGGGAGGCAGCAGUGGGGAAUAUUGCGCAAUGGGCGAAAGCCUGACGCAGCCAUGCCGCGUGUGUGAAGAAGGCCUUAGGGUUGUAAAGCACUU
rnacentral:rRNA from 1 species